GAUGAACGCUGGCGGCGUGCCUAAUACAUGCAAGUCGAGCGAACGGACGAGAAGCUUGCUUCUCUGAUGUUAGCGGCGGACGGGUGAGUAACACGUGGAUAACCUACCUAUAAGACUGGGAUAACUUCGGGAAACCGGAGCUAAUACCGGAUAAUAUUUUGAACCGCAUGGUUCAAAAGUGAAAGACGGUCUUGCUGUCACUUAUAGAUGGAUCCGCGCUGCAUUAGCUAGUUGGUAAGGUAACGGCUUACCAAGGCAACGAUGCAUAGCCGACCUGAGAGGGUGAUCGGCCACACUGGAACUGAGACACGGUCCAGACUCCUACGGGAGGCAGCAGUAGGGAAUCUUCCGCAAUGGGCGAAAGCCUGACGGUGCAACGCCGCGUGAGUGAUGAAGGUCUUCGGAUCGUAAAACUCUGUUAUUAGGGAAGAACAUAUGUGUAAGUAACUGUGCACAUCUUGACGGUACCUAAUCAGAAAGCCACGGCUAACUACGUG
rnacentral:rRNA from 1 species